UCAGCCCAUUUGUCCUCAUGCCUGGAACUGUGCAGGUACGGACAUGGGGGCUUUGG
ensembl:miRNA gga-mir-12248 gga-mir-12248